UACGUAGGGGGGCUAGCGUUGUCCGGAUUUAUUGGGCGUAAAGAGCGUGUAGGCGGCCAGGUAGGUCUGCUGUGAAAACUCGAGGCUCAACCUCGAGACGUCGGCGGAAACCAUCUGGCUAGAGUCCGGAAGAGGGGGGUGGAAUUCCCAGUGUAGCGGUGAAAUGCGUAGAUAUUGGGAGGAACACCGGUGGCGAAGGCGGCCCCCUGGACCGGUACUGACGCUGAGGCGCGAAAGCGUGGGUAGCAAACAGG
rnacentral:rRNA from 1 species